rnacentral:rRNA from 1 species
UACGUAGGGUGCAAGCGUUGUCCGGAAUUAUUGGGCGUAAAGAGCCCGUAGGCGGUUUGUUGCGUCGGCUGUGAAAUCCCGAGGCUCAACCUCGGGUCUGCAGUCGAUACGAGCAAACUAGAGUGUUGCAGGGGAGACUGGAAUUCCUGGUGUAGCGGUGAAAUGCGCAGAUAUCAGGAGGAACACCGGUGGCGAAGGCGGGUCUCUGGGCAACAACUGACGCUGAGGAGCGAAAGCGUGGGGAGCGAACAGG